GGAAUAUUGGUCAAUGGACGAAAGUCUGAACCAGCCAUGCCGCGUGAAGGAUUAAGGCCCUCUGGGUUGUAAACUUCUUUUAUCUGGGACGAAAAAAGGGUAUUCUUACUCACUUGACGGUACCAGAGGAAUAAGCACCGGCUAACUCAGUGACAGCAGCCGCGGUAAUACGGAGGGUGCAAGCGUUAUCCGGAUUUACUGGGUUUAAAGGGUGCGUAGGUGGACAGGUAAGUCAGUGGUGAAAUCUCCGAGCUUAACUCGGAAACUGCCGUUGAUACUAUUUGUCUUGAAUUAUCUGGAGGUAAGCGGAAUAUGUCAUGUAGCGGUGAAAUGCUUAGAUAUGACAUAGAACACCAAUUGCGAAGGCAGCUUACUACGGAUAUAUUGACACUGAGGCACGAAAGCGUGGGGAUCAAAC
rnacentral:rRNA from 1 species